CGAACGGUAACAGGAAGAAGCUUGCUUCUUUGCUGACGAGUGGCGGACGGGUGAGUAAUGUCUGGGAAACUGCCUGAUGGAGGGGGAUAACUACUGGAAACGGUAGCUAAUACCGCAUAACGUCGCAAGACCAAAGAGGGGGACCUUCGGGCCUCUUGCCAUCGGAUGUGCCCAGAUGGGAUUAGCUAGUAGGUGGGGUAACGGCUCACCUAGGCGACGAUCCCUAGCUGGUCUGAGAGGAUGACCAGCCACACUGGAACUGAGACACGGUCCAGACUCCUACGGGAGGCAGCAGUGGGGAAUAUUGCACAAUGGGCGCAAGCCUGAUGCAGCCAUGCCGCGUGUAUGAAGAAGGCCUUCGGGUUGUAAAGUACUUUCAGCGGGGAGGAAGGGAGUAAAGUUAAUACCUUUGCUCAUUGACGUUACCCGCAGAAGAAGCACCGGCUAACUCCGUGCCAGCAGCCGCGGUAAUACGGAGGGUGCAAGCGUUAAUCGGAAUUACUGGGCGUAAAGCGCACGCAGGCGGUUUGUUAAGUCAGAUGUGAAAUCCCCGGGCUCAACCUGGGAACUGCAUCUGAUACUGGCAAGCUUGAGUCUCGUAGAGGGGGGUAGAAUUCCAGGUGUAGCGGUGAAAUGCGUAGAGAUCUGGAGGAAUACCGGUGGCGAAGGCGGGCCCCUGGACGAAGACUGACGCUCAGGUGC
rnacentral:rRNA from 1 species